UUUGUCUGAGAUGAGAAUGGCUAUACCUGCUCUCUUUUGGUUUCCAUUUGUGUGGAAUAUUUUUCCCAUCCUUUCACAUUGAGCCCGUGUGUGUCCUUAUGGUUUAGAUGUGUCUCCUGGAGUCAUCAGAUAUUUGAGUUGUGUGUUUUCAUCCAUUCAUCCAGCCUGGGUCUCUUGACUGGUGCCUUUAAAGCAUUAAUGUUGAGAGGUAGAAUUGAUAGAUGGGGUGCUAUUCUGUUUAUCUGUUGCAUGGUGCCUUAUUACCUUGUUUUCUCUUGUGUGGUAUUGUUUUCUAUGAGUUGUGGGCUUUAGGUUUUUUGGGUGAUUUUACACUGGUGGGUAGCUAUUGUGCUGAUUUGUGUAUAAUGCAGUUCUGAGUAUUUUCUGCAGGGCAGAGCUGGUCAUGACAAAUUCCUCCAGUGUUUGCUUUCUGGAAAAGACUUAAUUUCUCCAUCAAUUGUGAAACUUAGAUUUUCAGGGUACAAAAUUCUAGGUUGGCAGUUGCUCUGCUUAAGAAGAUUGAAGUUUGGGCCCCACUCCCUUCUGGCUUUUAAGGUUUCUGCUGAGAAGUUUUCUGUUAGCCUAAUGGGUUUUCCUUUGUAGGUCCAUUGCUUACAGCGUGCUGCUUGCAGAAUUUUCUCCUUCAUUUUUACUUUGGCCAGGGUGAAUAUUGUGUGUCUUCGAGAUGUCCUAGUCACUAUGAAUGUUCCUGGUGUUCAGUGUCCAUCUUGUCUCUCCAUGUCUGGAUUUCUGACAAUACCAGGGAAUUGUUCCUCAAUAAUUCCCUCUAAUAGAUUUUCCAUUCUUUUAUCUCUUUUUUCUUCUCCCUCAGGGAUACUUAUGCUUUGUAUGAUAGUUUGCUUUGCAUGGUCCCAUAUCUCUCUAAGUGAUUGUUCUGCCUUUUUAAUUCCCUUCUCUGCCUCUUUAAAUGUCUGAGUUAGCUUGAAAGACUUGUUUAAUCUGUUGCUGAAGCUUUCUGCUGUUUGAAAAUUCCCUAAAUGAUCCUUUCAUUUCUUCAAAUUCUAUUAUAUCCUUUCUUAUGUUGUGUAGCUCUGUAGCGGCUUUUUCAUUAAUUUCCCAAAAUAUUUCUUUGGCAUUUCUUUGUAGGUUUUCAACUCUCUCUUCAACUUCAUUUAUGUUAUUUGCCAUCCAUGUUCUUAAUUCCAUUUCUGUCAUUCAUGCAAAUUUUCCUUUGGUUGGAGUUUACUACUGUAGCUCCAUUGUGAAUCCCUUGGGGUAUUGAACUGUUUUGUUUUUUCAUGUUGCCCAGUUUCUUUUGCUGGUUUAUUCUCAUCUGGAAUCUCUUUUCUCAACUCAGGGAUAACAGGUCUGCAGGGUACCUGUUCAUUGCUGGGAACUCUCCUGCUUAAUUGGAAGCACCCCAGUGCUCUAUCCUCCUAUUCUUCCCAGCACGUAGAUGCUUCCCUACAGUCACCUUCAGCCUUGUGAAACGUAUCGCCUGGGCACAUUCUCCUUCACUUUGAAUAUCCCACAUUGCUUCUCUGUGAUUUCAGAGUGUUUCUUUUGAGAAGAGUUAUCAGCAUGUAGGCAUCUGCCUGCAGUUUAUACUGCUUUCCUUGAGAGUGCUCCUUCUUGUUCCGCUCCGCAACUUCUUCCCAUGGAAUCUCAGGUAGGUUCUGGCACUUUCCCCCCAGAAUUACACCUGAGCUCUGUUUUCUUCAAUUAAAACUUUUUCUUCUUUCUGAGACGUUUUGGCCACCAAUGUCUCUAGUCAGCCAUCGUGCCUACACCCCUAGGAAUAUAUUUGUUAAUGAGAAACAGACACAUGUGCACACACACCUCAGAAUGCCUAUGUCUGUAGAGUUAAUACUUGUAGAAAUACUACGGUGAGUCCAUGUGCAUGUGAAGUCACAUGUUUUAUAAACCCAACAUAAUGGACUGCAUCUUAGGGUGUCUGACAUUUCCAUCAUAAUGAAGUAUAACAGUUUCAUAUUAAAAGAGAGAGAAUGUGCCAUUUAUGAUAAAUUCCCUGAUAUCUUGUAGCUCAUAUAUGAAAUGAAUUUGAUAGAGUUUUUUCUUAAAUUGAAUCCAAUCUUGGAUUCCAAACUGAUGCACCAUCACAUCUGCUGCAUUCUACUGGCCAAAGCAACCAGGUGUCUCCUUUCUUAAAAACAGGACAGUUUUGAAGCCAAGAAUAAAUGGGGCUCAAUCUCUGAUGGGGAGAGUCACAAAGUCUCAAGUAUUCAAGGCUCUGCAGUCAAAUAGAGCUGGAUUCCAAAUGAAAUUCUGCUGGAUAUUGCUGUAUGAUACUAGGCAAGUUGCCUAACAUUUAUAUCCCUUGAGUUGCUUAGAUUUUCCAACUGUAAAAUGGGAAUAAUAGUAUUUAACUCAGAAGACUGGUAUCUUCCUAUGAUAUCACAUAUAAAUCUGUUAGCACAGCAUCUAACAUGCUGUAGGCACUCAUCAUGUUCAGUUGUUUUAUUUCUGGGAACAGGCAACAAGUGGAGCUUUUGGGCUUAUCAAUGGCUUUGUAGACACUCUCUCAACACUCAUAGUAUGAGUUGUUACUUUUGGAUCUCAGAUACAAUACCUGGCUUCACUAGAUGUCAACCACCAGCUGCAGAAAUGUGUCUAAGUACAUCCAAGAAAAGAUGACACAGAUAGACACAGAAGUAUGCAGAAGAUACAGCUAUGUAUAUAACAUGAUGAGUGUGAGGAUGGAAAAAGACAUGACCAUAAGGUGGCAGUACACAUGGUGAUCUUUAUGUGGGUAUUGCUUUGAUGAAUUGCCAUAGAGGGAAAGUCCCUCAUGGUAGGGACAUUUUAGAGGCAGUGGCAGGAGACUACCACCAAGAACCCAGAAGAGGGACAGGGGGAGGGAACAGCUGGAGGAUAGGAGAAUCAGAGAGGGGCCUUAUGUGGCUAGGCAAUGUUGCUCAUAACAAAAUACCACAAACUAGGCUGCUUAACCAAUAAA